UACAGAGGUCCCGAGCGUUGUUCGGAUUCACUGGGCGUAAAGGGCGCGUAGGCGGCACCGCAAGUCGACUGUGAAAUCUCCGGGCUUAACUCGGAAAGGUCAGCCGAUACUGCGGGGCUAGAGUGCAGAAGGGGCAACUGGAAUUCUCGGUGUAGCGGUGAAAUGCGUAGAUAUCGAGAGGAACACCUGCGGCGAAGGCGGGUUGCUGGGCUGACACUGACGCUGAUGCGCGAAAGCUAGGGGAGCGAACGGG
rnacentral:rRNA from 1 species